CAAACGACUCUCGGCAACGGAUAUCUCGGCUCUUGCAUCGAUGAAGAACGUAGCGAAAUGCGAUACUUGGUGUGAAUUGCAGAAUCCCGUGAACCAUCGAGUCUUUGAACGCAAGUUGCGCCCGAGACCAUUAGGUCGAGGGCACGUCUGCCUGGGCGUCACAC
rnacentral:rRNA from 1 species